GACGAACGCUGGCGGCGUGCCUAAUACAUGCAAGUCGAACGAGAGCGACCGGUGCUUGCCCUGGUCAAUCUAGUGGCGAACGGGUGAGUAACACGUGGGUAACCUGCCCAUCAGAGGGGGAUAACAUCCGGAAACGGAUGCUAAAACCGCAUAGGUCUUCGAGCCGCAUGGCUUGAAGAGGAAAAGAGGCGCAAGCUUCUGCUGAUGGAUGGACCCGCGGUGCAUUAGCUAGUUGGUGAGGUAACGGCUCACCAAGGCCGUGAUGCAUAGCCGACCUGAGAGGGUGAACGGCCACAUUGGGACUGAGACACGGCCCAAACUCCUACGGGAGGCAGCAGUAGGGAAUCUUCCGCAAUGGACGCAAGUCUGACGGAGCAACGCCGCGUGAGUGAAGAAGGUUUUCGGAUCGUAAAACUCUGUUGUUAGAGAAGAACAAGUGCUAGAGUAACUGUUAGCGCCUUGACGGUAUCUAACCAGAAAGCCACGGCUAACUACGUG
rnacentral:rRNA from 1 species